GACGAACGCUGGCGGCGUGCUUAACACAUGCAAGUCGAGCGGUAAGGCCCUUUCGGGGUACGACGAGCGGCGAACGGGUGGAGUAACAACGUGGGUGGACCUGCCCUCCAGCUCUGGGAUAAGCCUGGGAAACUGGGUCUAAUACUGGAUAUGACUCCACGGUGCAUGUCGUGGGGUGGAAAGCCUUGUGCGGCUGAGGAUGGGCCCGCGGCCUAUCAGCUUGUUGGUGGGGGNGA
rnacentral:rRNA from 1 species